rnacentral:rRNA from 1 species
GUAGGGAAUAUUGGGCAAUGGUCGGAAGACUGACCCAGCCAUGCCGCGUGCAGGAAGACGGCCCUCUGGGUUGUAAACUGCUUUUAUCUGGGAAGAAAAAGGCCAUGCGUGGCAAAUUGCCGGUACCAGAUGAAUAAGCACCGGCUAACUCCGUGCCAGCAGCCGCGGUAAUACGGAGGGUGCAAGCGUUGUCCGGAUUUAUUGGGUUUAAAGGGUGCGUAGGCGGCUGAUUAAGUCAGCGGUGAAAGACUCCGGCUUAACCGGAGCAGUGCCGUUGAUACUGGUUAGCUUGAGUGUUGGAGGGGUACAUGGAAUUGAUGGUGUAGCGGUGAAAUGCAUAGAUACCAUCAGGAACACCGAUAGCGAAGGCAUUGUACUGGCCAACAACUGACGCUGAUGCACGAAAGUGUGGGGAUCGAACAGGAUUAGAAACCCCUGUAGUCC